rnacentral:rRNA from 1 species
UACGUAGGGGGCAAGCGUUGUCCGGAUUCAUUGGGCGUAAAGAGCGUGUAGGCGGCCAGGUAGGUCGGUUGUGAAAACUGGAGGCUCAACCUUCAGAGGUCGACCGAAACCAUCUGGCUAGAGUCCGGGAGAGGAGAGUGGAAUUCCUGGUGUAGCGGUGAAAUGCGCAGAUAUCAGGAGGAACACCGACGGCGAAGGCAGCUUACUGGGCCGAUACUGACGCUGAGGAGCGAAAGCGUGGGGAGCGAACAGG